AUUGAACGCUGGCGGCAUGCUUUACACAUGCAAGUCGAACGGUAACAGGCCGCAAGGUGCUGACGAGUGGCGAACGGGUGAGUAAUGCAUCGGAACGUGCCCAGUCGUGGGGGAUAACGCAGCGAAAGCUGCGCUAAUACCGCAUACGAUCUAUGGAUGAAAGCGGGGGACCGUAAGGCCUCGCGCGAUUGGAGCGGCCGAUGUCAGAUUAGGUAGUGGGUGGGGUAAAGGCUCACUAAGCCAACGAUCUGUAGCUGGUCUGAGAGGACGACCAGCCACACUGGGACUGUGACACGGCCCAGACUCCUACGGGAGGCAGCAGUGGGGAAUUUUGGACAAUGGGCGCAAGCCUGAUCCAGCAAUGCCGCGUGCAGGAAGAAGGCCUUCGGGUUGUAAACUGCUUUUGUACGGAACGAAACGGUCCUGGUUAAUACCUGGGGCUAAUGACGGUACCGUAAGAAUAAGCACCGGCUAACUACGUGCCAGCCGCCGCGGUAACAC
rnacentral:rRNA from 1 species